GAUGAACGCUGGCGGCGUGCCUAAUACAUGCAAGUCGAGCGAACAGACGAGGAGCUUGCUCCUCUGACGUUAGCGGCGGACGGGUGAGUAACACGUGGAUAACCUACCUAUAAGACUGGGAUAACUUCGGGAAACCGGAGCUAAUACCGGAUAAUAUAUUGAACCGCAUGGUUCAAUAGUGAAAGACGGUUUUGCUGUCACUUAUAGAUGGAUCCGCGCCGCAUUAGCUAGUUGGUAAGGUAACGGCUUACCAAGGCAACGAUGCGUAGCCGACCUGAGAGGGUGAUCGGCCACACUGGAACUGAGACACGGUCCAGACUCCUACGGGAGGCAGCAGUAGGGAAUCUUCCGCAAUGGGCGAAAGCCUGACGGAGCAACGCCGCGUGAGUGAUGAAGGUCUUCGGAUCGUAUAACUCUGUUAUUAGGGAAGAACAAAUGUGUAAGUAACUAUGCACGUCUUGACGGUACCUAAUCAGAAAGCCACGGCUAACUACGUG
rnacentral:rRNA from 1 species